AGAUGGGUACUGAGACCGGACCCAGCCCUAUGGGCGCAGCAGGCGAGAAACCUUUGCAAUGUGCGAAAGCACGACAAGGUUAAUCCGAGUGUCUCCUGCUAAAGGAGUCUUUUGUCAGUUGUAGAAUCACUGGUGAAUAAGGGGUGGGCGAGUUCUGGUGUCAGCCGCCGCGGUAAAACCAGCACCUCGAGUGGUCAGGAGGUUUAUUGGGCCUAAAGCAUCCGUAGCCGGUUGCAUAAGUUUUCGGUUAAAUCUAUGCGCUUAACGUAUAGGCCGCCGAAAAUACUGUGCAGCUAGGGAGUGGGAGAGGUACACGGUACUCGAUAGGAAGGGGUAAAAUCCUUUGAUCUAUUGAAGACCACCUGUGGCGAAGGCGGUGUACCAGAACACGUUCGACGGUGAGGGAUGAAAGCUGGGGGAGCAAACCGGAUUAGAUACCCGGGUAGUCCCAGCUGUAAACGAUGCAGACUCGGUGAUGCAUUGGCUUGUGGCCAAUGCAGUGCCGCAGGGAAGCCGUUAAGUCUGCCGCCUGGGAAGUACGUACGCAAGUAUGAAACUUAAAGGAUUGGCGGGGGAGCACCACAAGGGGUGAAGCCUGCGGUUCAU
rnacentral:rRNA from 1 species